GCCCUCGUAGCUCAGUGGAUAGAGCAGUUCCCUUCUAAGGAAAAGGUCGGGGGUUCAACUCCCUCCGAGGGCGCCA
rnacentral:tRNA from 1 species